rnacentral:misc_RNA from 1 species
CCUGAAGAUACCUUCCGGCGCAGUGUCCACACAGAUUGUCUGAUAAAAGUAAUGAGCAAGGCGCCUGCGAAGUCGCGACACACCGUGUCCCCUUCGUCUAGCGGUUAGGACUCCGCCCUUUCACGGCGGCAACAGGGGUUCGAAUCCCCUAGGGGACGCCACUUGCUUGGUGACAGGUGAAAGGUGUCGCUAAAAAUAUCUUAAAGCUGACUGCAAAGUCAGGUUUAAGAUAUUGCUCUUUAACAAUCCGGAACAAGCUGAAAAUUGAAACGACAUGUCGUGUUCAUUCUCCGUAAUCAGAAUGAAGCCACGAUAUGUUCGAGUCUCUCAAUGCCUGCAACCGACACACGUCUUUCGGGACGCUUGUGGGUUGUGA